UUAAAAUACAAGCCCAUCCCACACCCUACAUGAGGUUAUGUCUUUCUGACUCUUAACUCUACCAAACCCCCAGACCCUAAAAUCUCACACACCUCUCUAACUCUCUCCCCUCUUUCUUUGUCUCUCCCAAAUGGCUCCACCGCAACAACUCCACCGUAGCAACUCCGCAAGUGACUCCAACAUCCCUCUCCGGUGACCUGAGUCCAACACUCCGACCCAUCCUCUCCGACGAUCGCAAGUCCGCAAGUAACUUACAGUGCGAUGAUUUGUGCCCUCUUGGUAGUUGGCCCAAAGGCUUCUUGAGAGAUGGAUUUUGGAUGCUCAUCAUAUUUCACAAAUUGUUGUACUUGUUUGUAUUGUAUUAAUGGAUUAUUGAGAUUUGUAUAAGUUGUCUUGUAUUAUUAGAGUUUGAAAGUUAAACCAUUGUUUUAA